UCUCUUGUCGUCUAGUGGUUAGGACACAUGGUUUUGAUCCAUGUAACUUGGGUUCAAUUCCCAACGAGAGAU
rnacentral:tRNA from 1 species